GUAAAUAUAAUAUACAUUUUAUUUAUCUCCACAGUAUAGCACAGACAGUGUCAGUAUAACUUUCCCCACACAGCUCUAUCAACGGGCCUCAACCCUGACCUUGAAGGAAAGAGCAAUUCAUUGUACAUGCCAAUUCAAUUCUUAGCUUGU
rnacentral:sRNA from 1 species